GAUGAACGCUGGCGGCGUGCCUAACACAUGCAAGUCGAACGGAGUCCAGCCUUUAAGACCUUCGGGUCAAAGCGGGGAAGACUGAGUGGCGGACGGGUGAGUAACACGUGGGCAACCUGGCUCAUAGAGGGGGAUAACAGAGAGAAAUUUCUGCUAAUACCGCAUAAGCACACCCUGCCGCAUGGCAGAGGGUGAAAAGAGAAUCGCUAUGAGAUGGACCCGCGUCUGAUUAGCCAGUUGGCAGGGUAAGAGCCUACCAAAGCGACGAUCAGUAGCCGAUCUGAGAGGAUGAACGGCCACAUUGGGACUGAGACACGGCCCAAACUCCUACGGGAGGCAGCAGUGGGGGAUAUUGCACAAUGGGGGGAACCCUGAUGCAGCGACGCCGCGUGAGUGAAGAAGUAUUUCGGUAUGUAAAGCUCUAUCAGCAGGGAAGAUAAUGACAGUACCUGAAUAAGAAGCCCCGGCUAACUACGUG
rnacentral:rRNA from 1 species